AUGCCAUGGUGUGGACAUUCCCUUUGAAGGUCUUUGUACCUCUCCCUUGCAUCAUAGAGUGAUUCUCCUUCUCUUUGCCUAUAAGUACACAUUGCUAUUCUCAGUUU